GGUUAUCAAUUAGUUUUAAUGCAUGAUAGGGGUACUUCCACGUCCCCACUCUUCUCCUGUAAGAGUCCUCAGCAAUACUCAAACUCUACACCAAACCAAACUCCAUCAUAUUAUCUUCUAAUUCCCAGCAAACACACACAACAACAAGCUGCACUCACAGGUGCUAACUCAAACACAGCAGCAUCCCUUACUCGAUACCAUCAUCGCUACAGCAAAAACACUGCUUUAUUGCAAAAUCCUUGAAAAAGGUCCACUUGAGAGAAGGAAUUAGCAUUGCUUUUACAAGAAGAGAAUUGUACAUCUUUUAUCUACGAGCUUGUUCUAUCAAGGUUGAGCGGCAGAUGGUGACGUGCGAAGCUGAGGGAGGGUGUUGCUGUAUUUCCAAAUGAAUGUCAAGAAUAAAUUCCGCUGCCAUAGUAUUCACUAAGAUGGAUAUUAAUUGAGAUUAACUAUUUUAAUAUGAACUCCUGAUGUUAUCGCUUUCCUAGCGAUUAUUCCUCUCAUAUAUUAUUCGCUUAGUACUAAAUGAUAUCUUUUUGUCUCAGACCUCCGAACUUUUGAUCCUGGUUGGGAGAAUUUCUAUCUUAAUUGCCGUAUUCAUUAUCCUUCAA